rnacentral:sRNA from 1 species
GACUUUAGAAACCACAAUGAAAUCAGGGGAGAGCGCGAACGCAGUCCCCCACUACCACAAAUUAUGCAGUCGAGUUUCCCGCAUUUGGGGAAAUCGCAGGGGUCAGCACAUCCGGAGUGCAAUGGAUAAGCCUCGCCCUGGGAAAACCACCUUCGUGAUCAUGGUAUCUCCCCUGCCAGGUAAGUAUGAGUUGCUCGCCCAGCCAGCACGCCCUCCACCCACACGCACUCCUAUUAAACGCACGGUUCCCGCCUCCGCGCCACGGCCUCGGUCUCACGCCCCCCCACUCCUCUGCCGAGAUGCUUCCGCCUCACGGAAAUCACACGCCUGUCACGCGGUACACUCCACCCGAGACACGGCCCUUAAGGCUCUGCCGGACCGGCAGCCACUGCGCACGGCUUCAUCUGCGUACGCCCCGCCCACAGGCGGGUUUUUUUUUUUUCCUUUUUCUUUUUUUUUUCUUUCCCCCCCCUUUUUUCUUCCCCUGGCCUGCAGGAGACCGCGACGGUCACACAGUGGCCUGGAGCACACUAUACCAUAGUCCAUCAUUGGAGGGAGUCGGGACAGGAACUCAAGCAGGGCUUGAGAUAGGAGCUGACGCAGAGCCCAUGAAGGAGUACUGCUUACUGGCUUGAUUUCUUACGGAACCCAGGACCACCAGCCCAGGGAUGGCUCGCUGAUUGAUCACUAAUUGAGAAAAUGCCUUACAGCCGGAUCUCAUGGAGGCAUUUCCUCAACUGAGCUGAAACAGCUUCGGCCACGCACAUGAUACAGCUCUGACCAGUUAAGACACCAGUCAGUCCCGGGGGAGAGCAUCUGCCAGGAAACGAACAUCAAAGCCGCUGUUCCAAGUUUUCUGCCUCCCAACUGCUCUACUUGGAAAUCGGGCUGAGGCCUUGGAGAAGCAGGUGUUCGCCUCCGGGUCUCCGGGGCCUGGCCUUAAGCGCGCAGCGGCAGUCCUCGCGUCUGCUCUCUGUUUAGCCACGCGGCCUACCUAAGGCCAACAGACUAACCCAAAAAGAGAACUUAAGGCUUGGAGAGAUGUUUCCGUGACGGAGCACACUGGCCGUUCUUCCCCAGGACCCGGGGGUCGUGUCCCAGCACCCACACUGAAGCUCCGGUGCCUGGGGAGCCUAUGUUCUCUUCUGCCCCACCUUCCCGGCUUUCUGGUCUUCUCCAGCCUGGCACACGUGGGGCACACAGACACAUGGGCAGGAGAAGGCACUCCUACAUGGUAAAUAAAAAUAAGCAAAAAUCCCAUAAAAGUUUUCCGGAUACUCACUUCUUUCCCCUCCAAGAGAGACCAUGCUGAUAAAAACAAAAUAACCCACGGGUAACAGAACCGCCGUAUGCCUUGUCCUUCUAUCUCUCGGCGUUUACACAGCACCUUCACAUUUCCGAAGCAUGGCACCAACAUUUAUUAACCCUCACAACAUCCCUGUGAGGUAGGUCAACAUGUCCUUUAUAGCAGAGAAUGGAGCUACAAGGCUAGAGGAUCUCGCCCAUACCGGAUUGAGGAGGCUUCAAGAGCAGCUGGUGAGGGCCGGACCGAAUCCAGAAGGGCGGGCCCUUGGUCCUGCGCUCACCCACGCAGGUGUAUUUCUAUACAUACCGCGUGGGUGUAUUUCUACCAAUGAAGGUCACAUACAGGAAGGAAUGAAGGACCAACACGGUGUCCAGGCUGACAAUAGGAAAACGGAGGUUCGGAUGGCUCGGGGAAACAUGUCAAUCACGAGAGCAAGCACGCUAGCCAGCACAGGGAGGCCGAGAGAAGAUGUGCACUGAGAGAGACUGGGUCUGGGUCUUGGCCUGCAAGGUGGACCCUGACCCCGGAAUCUUCAGGACGGUUUAGAGAAAUGUAAACAAACUAGGAACCCGUUCCAGUGGUGAACGGCCCAAGUCCCCGUGAUUUCCUGCCAACAGCCAGCUUUGGCAUCUGUGGGUUGGGUGAACUGAGGAUGGCAGCCCAUAGGGGUCAGUGCUUUGAGCAAGGAGUCCGUC